rnacentral:rRNA from 1 species
UACGGAGGGUGCGAGCGUUGUCCGGAAUCACUGGGCGUAAAGGGCGCGUAGGCGGCCGUGUAAGUCACUUGUGAAAUCCCGGGGCUCAACUCCGGGGCUGCAGGGGAGACUGCAUGGCUAGAGCUCGGUAGAGGCAAGUGGAAUUCCCGGUGUAGCGGUGGAAUGCGUAGAUAUCAGGAGGAACACCGGUGGCGAAGGCGGCUAGCUGGACAGAGUCUGACGCUGAGGCGCGAAAGCUAGGGGAGCAAACAGG